AUUGAACGCUGGCGGCAGGCCUAACACAUGCAAGUCGAACGAGUGGCGGACGGGUGAGUAAUGUCUGGGAAACUGCCUGAUGGAGGGGGAUAACUACUGGAAACGGUAGCUAAUACCGCAUACCAUCAGAUGUGCCCAGAUGGGAUUAGCUUGUUGGUGGGGUAACGGCUCACCUAGGCGACGAUCCCUAGCUGGUCUGAGAGGAUGACCAGCCAACCUGGGACUGAGACACGGCCCAGAAUCCUACGGGAGGGAGCAGUGGGGAAUAUUGCCCAAUGGGCGACAGGCUGGUGCAGCCAAGCCGCGUGUAUGAAGAAGGCCUUCGGGUUGUAAAGUGCUUUCAGGGGGGAAGCGGUACCCGCAGAAGAAGCACCGGCUAAAUCCGUGCCAGGAGCCGCGGUAAUAC
rnacentral:rRNA from 1 species